UACGUAGGGUGCAAGCGUUGUCCGGAAUUAUUGGGCGUAAAGAGCUCGUAGGCGGUCUGUCGCGUCUGCUGUGAAAACUCGGGGGCUUAACCCCCGGGCCUGCAGUGGGUACGGGGCAGACUAGAGUGCGGUAGGGGGAGACUGGAAUUCCUGGUGUAGCGGUGAAAUGCGUAGAUAUCGGGAGGAACACCAGUGGCGAAGGCGGCUCGCUGGGCCGGACCUGACGCUGAGACGCGAAGGCGUGGGGAGCGAACGGG
rnacentral:rRNA from 1 species